UGCCGCGUGUGNGAAGAAGGCCCUCGGGUUGUAAAGCACUUUCAGUGGGGAAGAAAGCCUUGGGGUUAAUACCCUCGAGGAAGGACAUCACCCACAGAAGAAGCACCGGCUAACUCCGUGCCAGCAGCCGCGGUAAUACGGAGGGUGCGAGCGUUAAUCGGAAUUACUGGGCGUAAAGCGCGCGUAGGCGGUCUGAUAAGCCGGUUGUGAAAGCCCCGGGCUCAACCUGGGAACGGCAUCCGGAACUGUCAGGCUAGAGUGCAGGAGAGGAAGGUAGAAUUCCCGGUGUAGCGGUGAAAUGCGUAGAGAUCGGGAGGAAUACCAGUGGCGAAGGCGGCCUUCUGGACUGACACUGACGCUGAGGUGCGAAAGCGUGGGUAGCAAACAGGAUUAGAUACCCUGGUAGUCCACGCCGUAAACGAUGUCGACUAGCCGUUGGGGUCCUUGAGACCUUUGUGGCGCAGUUAACGCGAUAAGUCGACCGCCUGGGGAGUACGGCCGCAAGGUUAAAACUCAAAUGAAUUGACGGGGGCCCGCACAAGCGGUGGAGCAUGUGGUUUAAUUCGAUGCAACGCGAAGAACCUUACCUACCCUUGACAUCGAGAGAACUUGGCAGAGAUGCCUUGGUGCCUUCGGGAACUCUCAGACAGGUGCUGCAUGGCUGUCGUCAGCUCGUGUU
rnacentral:rRNA from 1 species